rnacentral:rRNA from 1 species
GGCUACCAGGUCCAAGGACGGCAGCAGGCGCGAAAAUUACCGAAGCUCAAAUAGAGGCGGUAGUAAUGAGACGUAUAAAAAAUAAUAUAAGGGUAAAAAACUUAUUAAUAACUAGAGGUCAAGUCUGGUGCCAGCAUCCGCGGUAAUACCAGCUCUAGGGGUGUCUAUGAUGAUUGCUGCGAUUAAAAGGUCCGUAGUCGAAUUUAAAUAAUUGUUUGUAAUAUGUUAGAUAAAAUAAUAAAAAGAACAAUUACUUAAAUGAAAGGAAUAACAAGAGGUUGAUUAAUUGAGUAACGAGAGGUGAAAUUUGAUGACUUACUUAGGAGAAACAGAGGCGAAAGCGUCAAUCAAGUGUAAAUCCGAUGAUCAAGGACGUAGGCUGGAGUAUCGAACACGAUUAGAUACCGUAGUAGUUCCAGCAGUAAACUAUGCCUACGCCAAUGAAUGAAAGUUUGAUGGACGAGAAAUCUAGAGUAGGGCUUUGGGGAGAGUACACGCGCAAGCGAUAAAUUUAAAGGAAAUUGACGGAAGAACACCACAAGGAGUGGAGUGUGCGGCUUAAUUUGACUCAACGCGGGACAGCUUACCAAACCCGAAAACUAAAAGAGUGAAUACACGAUAAGUUUAAGAGUGGUGCAUGGCCGUUAUCGACGAGUGAAGUGAUUUUAUGGUUAAAUCCGACAAGUCGUGAGACCCUAUAAAAUAAAACAGGUAUGAAAAUACAGGAAGGAUAGGACAAGAACAGGUCAGUGAUGCCCUUAGAUGGUUUGGGCUGCACGCGCACUACAGUGGUUAUAAUAAAAUAUAUAGAAAACUAAAUAAAGAAAUAUAAUCAAGAGGGAUUGAGUAUUGAAAAAUACCCAUGAACGAGGAAUUGCUAGUAAUCGUAGGCUCAGUAAGAUACGAUG